rnacentral:lncRNA from 1 species
AUACAACUCUCACCAUCUGGAUCCAGAUCUAAACUCCCUUAAUGUGCCACAUAACAAUCACUUGAAAAAAGAAAAAAAAAACUAAGAUUGAUCCAACGACCACUAUGCGAUCUGAGAGUGCAAUCUCUUUUCCCUUCUCAAGUUCAAAAAACAGAAACUCAAGUUUCAACCAGGGAAUAAACUCAAUAAAAAAAUUAAAAUCACUUGAAAAUCGGGUUGUAAAUCAAUGCAAAGUGAAC